AACGAACGCUGGCGGCGUGGAUAAGACAUGCAAGUCGAACGGAACUGUUUGGUAGUAAUAUUAAGCAGUUUAGUGGCGAACGGGUGCGUAACACGUGGAUACAUGCCGGGAAGCAAGGAAUAGCCCAGGGAAACUUGGAUUAAUACCUUAUGUGGUCGAGAGACUAAAGGCGGGGUAACCUGUCACUUCCUGAUUGGUCCGCGGCCUAUCAGCUAGUUGGUGAGGUAAAGGCUCACCAAGGCGACGACGGGUAGCUGGUCUGAGAGGAUGACCAGCCACACUGGAACUGAGACACGGUCCAGACACCUACGGGUGGCAGCAGUCGAGAAUCUUUCACAAUGGGGGCAACCCUGAUGGAGCGACGCCGCGUGGAGGAUAAGGUCUUCGGAUUGUAAACUCCUGUCAUGCGAGAGCAAGGCUUGGGCGGUAACUCGCUAAAGUUUGAUAGUAUCGCAAGAGGAAGAGACGGCUAACUCUGUGCCAGCAGCCGC
rnacentral:rRNA from 1 species